rnacentral:lncRNA from 1 species
ACUCUUGAUAAGAAACUUUAUUAAAACCUUUUUGAAACUGUAGGUACAAAAUGAAUACUCCAGGGAUGGGAACACAAACUUUUAAAAUAAAGGAAAAGUUGCGUCUGGUUGCAUGCAUUAUUUAUCCCUCCCAAAAUCAAUUUAACUUUUCAUUAUCCAAAACAGUUUUUAAUCUAAAUUAAAAGAACAAAGUAUUUCAAUCAACAGACUGAAAAAGAUUGUUUCAUUUGAGCCAUGACACAUUACAGCCCAACCCCAUGAAAAAUCUUGCAGCAGUGGUCUGGUGGAGAGAAGGAAAAUGGGGUACCACCAGAACUGGAAGACAUUGACUCAGACUUUGGGGAGGGGGAGAAGUCUGCUUCAGUGCCAUCAGACACAUUGGGUGCCACAUCACAGCUGCCUCAUGAUGCCUGGGGCACCUCCCACCCCCAAAAAACCUCCUCCCAUCAAGGAGGUGCCAGCGGGCAGAUCAGACACAAAGCCAGCCCCAUGGACUCCAGCUCCAUCGCCAAGGACACAAAGAUGGCUGCACCUGCAUGAACAAACUCAGCAAACCCAGACAGUUCAAAGGAGUGCCACUUACUUGCCCAGUCCUGUUUCUUGGAGCGCCAACCAUAUUAAUGCCAGUAUCCAUUCUGCUCUUCAAAAUGAGAGUCUGGGGGACAUGGCCCAGUUUGUGCUUAGUCAGAUAUUUUAACCUCUGCUGCAAAUGCUAACCAGUGUGCUUUGUAACCUGACUUACAUCCCAUAGUGAUCUAUGCAUUAAAGCCAUCAGCAAAACCUGAGUUGAGAACAUGAGUGCUGCAUCCACCAGUGAGAGCCAGGGGGCACACAGAAAUGAGGCUCUUGAGAGUGAAAAGGGUUAGUGAGACAGGAAUUGUUUGCAGAAGCCAUGCUGAUUUUUUCCAGCAGGACAUAUUCUUCCCAUCAGUUUUCCCAGAGCAGAUUCUCGAACUGGCCUGUAAUUUUCUCAAUUCACGCACCUGAUCCAGUUUUUUAAAAAGAGUAUUAUGUUAACCUCUUCCCAGUUCUAAUCUUUUUGCCAUACUGCCCAGAACUUUGUUUCUUGUCCCUCUUAUUUGUCUCAUUUCUUCAGAUUCAGUUUCUGAUAAUGUCACUCCAGGUACCAGUAUCUAUGCUCCAUCUCCCGCAGUAAAAACAAACGGAAAUGAUUAAAUCAGCUUCUGCACAAUCACCGUUGCUUCCUUUAGCACACCUUUAACUCCACUGCUGUCCAAAGAACCAACCACUUCUCUAGCUGCUUAUGAUGUAUUUAAGCACUUUUUAAAUUGUUGGUAUUAAUAUUUUUAGUGAAAUGCAUAGCCCAUAAAUUUACAUACUGUCAUAGCAAUAAUUAAACUCACAAACUUUAAUUGCUCAGAACUUCACAGCUUUUCUUAACUGAUUGUUGGUUAUAGUAUUCAGAUAUUUCCAUAGCAGUGAAGAGUUCUGAAAAUGUUCAAAGAAAGGGACAUCUGUUAGAAGGCACUCUUCACAAAUUUUGCAGUGCUACCAAAUCAUUACUUCUUUCUUUGACUGAUAGUCUGGCUCUAGUCAGAUCUAACAGAGCUAAAUCUCCUCUAUACUGUCCAUUAUAUAUUACUAAAUCAUUAGUUAGAUGAUUCUAACAAAUUCUAAACAACUUUAGAAUUUCUCUUAAAUGUACUGUUUUCGCUUUUUUUAAACAGCACAUAAUAAUCUCUAGUUUAUUUUCUGAAUUUUGAGGCAAUGGUUGGCAAUACAUCCCUAUGCUUGGUUUGCAUAGACAAAUUGGCUUACUUUGCUUCAGUAGUUAUACCAGGAUGUCAAAUGGAGGAUUUCUACAAACAAUAUGCUGGUACCUUACAUUUCACAAUGCGCAGAUCAUAGCAGUACAUAAAAUUAAUUAAUUAAUUAAUUAGCCACCCUUAGGCAAAGAGGCUUUCUGAGUCACUUACAAAAAUCAGUACUAAGGGAGUCCCUGUCCUAAGGCUCACAAUCUAAAACAGGAGUGAGGAACAGGUCUUCACUGGCUAUUUAUAGUGGGUCCCACUACAUGAUGACUACAAAGCUUAGUAGUUUGUUAUUUAGUACAAUUCAUGCAAUUCAAGAUAACAAAAUGAAUUCCAAUAGGGAUAAAUUUAAGGUUCUCCACUUAGGCAGGAGGAACCAGACGCACAAAUAUAGGGUGGGGGACACCUGGCUUACUAGCAGUACGUGUGAAAAGGAUCUAGGGCUCCUGGUGGACCACAAGCUUAACAUGAGUCAACAGUGUGAUGCAGAAGCAAAAAAAGCUAAUGCUAUUCUAGGCUGCAUCAACAGAAGUCUAGUGUCCAGAUCAAGGGAAGUAAAAGUCCCACUCUCUUCUGCCUUGGUCAGACCACACCUGGAAUACUGUGUCCAAUUCUGGGCACCACAAUUUAAGAAGGAUGUUAACAAGCUGGAACAUGUGGAGAGGAGGGCAACCAAGAUGAUCAAGGUCUGGAAACUAAGCCUUAUGAGGAUCGGUUGAAGGAGCUGGGUAUAUUUAGCCUGGAAAAGAAGGGCUGUCACAUGGAAGGUGGAGCCAGCUUGUUUUCUCCUGCUCUGAAUGGUAGGACUCGAACCAAUGGCUCCAAGUUACAAGAAAGGAGAUUCCGACUAGACAUGUGAAAAUACUUUCCGACAAUAAGAGCUGUUUGACAGUGGAACAGUCUCCCUCGGGAGGUUGUGGACUCUCCUUCCUUGGAGGUUUUAAAGCAGAGGUUGGAUGGCCAUCUAUCAUGGAUUCUUUAGCUGAGAUUCCUGCAUUGUAGGGGGUUGGACUAGAUGACCCUUGGGUCCCUUCCAGCUCUAAAAUUCUAUGAUUCUAUCCUCUCUAUAAGGCAUUCCACUCCCCCCCCCCCCCGCUCCACAUUAGGUUUGUAUUUCUCUUUAUUCUUUGGAAUAGCAGUGUUUUAGUGUAAUCUACUUUCUCCCUAAAGCAUACCACUAUAUGUGUUUUUCUUUUCCUGGCUUGACGUCAUUUUUGUUGUUUUCUAAAUUCCUUAGAAUGACUGCUACAUUCAUGAUAUGGAAGCUUUUAUCUGGCUGGGAGGUGGAGGAGGAUUUUUACCCUGUGUGGCUGAAAUUAACUUGUCAGAAGUUUCCAACUUUAGAAGCUUUUACAGCUCAAUUGAACCAUUAUUCAAAACUGAAUGAAGAGGCUGUAGACUAUAGAAGCUCAUGAAAAUAAAUUUCACAAGAAUGCUUGUAUCUGAAGUCUUAGCUCUAUGCCAUUAAUUUAACAGCCUCUGAAAUUUGUAUGUUAUUUAGAAAUCUACAGUCCUGUCAUUAUAUUAUUGACUAUUGAGUAUAUGUGUGUUUUUAUGUAUUGCCUUUGAAACGGUCCUAAAUUUCCUGUAUGUUCACCAGCUGGUUUUGUUGUCUCCCCUGGUAUUCUGUGCAGAGUUGGGCUUUGGCUGCAAUCCACACCUUGUUUAUUCUUCAGUACUCCACCAUGGUGUUUUGGGAGAAUCUGCUAAAAUGAAGGAAGAUGACUCCCUUCAGCCAACCAACUUUCACGGCUACUGGUCAAAAUAACCUUCAACCUGAGAAGAAUUUUUGGUCUCUCCUCAAAUGACUCUUUUGGUAAUACACCAAAGCAGGGGCACCGGAUAUAUGGGGUGCAAGGGGCCAACAUCCCCCGUCACCGCCACGUGCUCCCCACAUGCCGCAGCCCCUGCGUGGGAGCCCAGGAGCCAGGAGGGGGCUGGGAUGAGUAAGGACAAAGAUCGCCCUCCAUGGGUCCUGCCCCUGCCCGGCACAUGCCAUGGGGAGAAGGAGGUCGAGGAUGGAGCCCAGCUCAGUGUGCGAGUGUUGGCAUCACGGGGGCGGGAUGCAUCCCAUGACGUCACAUGACAUGUCACGUGAUGCACCCCCAUGUGGUGGGCAAGUUGGCAUCCCUGCACCAAAGCAUGGUAGCAGUACUGCCAGUAAGCAGAAUACUAUUUUCAUUUCAAGAAGUACUGCCACAAUGGUAAUUUAAGAAUCUGCUAAAAAAGAGGAUAUUCUGGUUCCACCAAAAGUACAGUGGCUGCCAUCCUAGGCAUGCCUACCUGGGAGUAAGCUCUAGGGAACACAGGAAAAUUCUUAGCUAACAUGCAGGCACUUGGUCUUCCAGUUUCCCACCUAAGUAAAAGAGCUGACUGCUAAACCCUGAAUGAAGAAAUCCCUACUUGAAUGUAUACGUCAAAGGGGGAAUUGGCAUGAUGGCCAUUUUUAUAGUAUUUAGACACCAUUUUUCAACCCAAUGGAAGUGACUUACAAUUAAAGUUAAAAUGCAUGGUUAUAUGACAUCUCCACGUUCUGAAGCAGUUUACUGCUCAUAUAGUAAAGUCAGUGUGGUGUAGAAUGUUGGACUAGGACCUGGCAGAGCAGGAUUUGAAUCCCCACUUAGCCACGAAGCUCACUGGGUGACCUUGAACCAGUCACCAUCUCUUAGCCCAGGAGUUGUCCACCUGGUCCCUCCCACCCACUGGUGGGCGUUUCAGGAUUCUAGGUGGGUGGUAGGGGGUUCUACGGCACAAGCUGAAUCCUCCUUCCAUCGAGCACUGGGGGGCGGUAAGGAAACUUUACCAUCAAGAAAGAUGCAUUAGAAGGUGGUAGGUAUAAAAAGGUUGACUACCCCUGUCUUAGCCUAACCUACCUCACAGGGUUGGUGUGAGGAUGAAACGAGGAGGAGAACCAUGUACACCACCUUGAGAUCCUUGGAAGAUAAAGGUGGCAUAUAAAUGC